GACGAACGCUGGCGGCGUGCCUAAUACAUGCAAGUAGAACGCUGAAGAGAGGAGCUUGCUCUUCUUGGAUGAGUUGCGAACGGGUGAGUAACGCGUAGGUAACCUGCCUUGUAGCGGGGGAUAACUAUUGGAAACGAUAGCUAAUACCGCAUAACAAUGGAUGACACAUGUCAUUUAUUUGAAAGGGGCAAUUGCUCCACUACAAGAUGGACCUGCGUUGUAUUAGCUAGUAGGUGAGGUAAUGGCUCACCUAGGCGACGAUACAUAGCCGACCUGAGAGGGUGAUCGGCCACACUGGGACUGAGACACGGCCCAGACUCCUACGGGAGGCAGCAGUAGGGAAUCUUCGGCAAUAGGGGCAACCCUGACCGAGCAACGCCGCGUGAGUGAAGAAGGUUGUCGGAUCGUAAAGCUCUGUUGUAAGUCAAGAACGGGUGUGAGGGUGGAAAGUUCACACUGUGACGGUAGCUUACCAGAAAGGGACGGCUAACUACGUG
rnacentral:rRNA from 1 species